GUUUACACGACACUGUCAGAACUACUACUGACUUAACUCGCUAGUUUUAUGACAUUAACUGACAUAAGCGAAAAAAAAUCAACUGAAAGCAUCCAGUCUCUCUACCAUUGAAGUCAGCACGAUGAUGUCAUCAUCAUCAUCAGAGCCCGAGAGUCUCCUGAGAGCAUGAAGAAGAGAGAGACUCGUCCUCCUCCGCCUGCAGUCGCUCAUUUUCGUUUCAGGGGACUUGAAGGAGAUCUGGGACUAAAGAGAUUCACUAAUGUGCACAGUAUUAUGAAUGUUUUGAAGGCGAGUGGGCUGGUUUUUGAGCAGGUCCUCUGAAUGUGUGCGUCAGAUGUCUGUGCUCGAAUCAUGACUCAGAUCUGCUGAGUUUCUCCUCGUGGGACGCAGAAAUCGCCUGAGAGGCGUCAGCGUUUCCCUCGACUCACUGAUGAU